AUUUGUUUUCUCAACGCCUACAAGGUGUUUGAUGAAAAUCCAAGAAGACAAUGGGGCUCAAUUAUCUGCGCAAGCCAUGUGAUUCACAACCAGCUUCAAUCCCAUGUGUUGAAGAAAAAUAGGAGAAAAUUGUUGUUGGGAGG